GUGCCGGCUUUGGCAGCACGUAGACUAAAGUUGGAACGAGACACAGAAGAUUAGCAUGGCCCCUGCUCCAGGAGGACAUGCAAAUUCGUGAAGCGUUCCAUGUGAAA